rnacentral:lncRNA from 1 species
CUUCUCCCCUCUAAACCAUAGUUUGACCCUGCCGGUGGGUACCCUAUCCCCCGAGGUUCUGUCUGUUCUGGAAAUCCGUUGUAUUUCCUCUAUGGGGACGUCCGAGAUGAUCAGCUCCGAGUGCUGCUCCUCCGAGUGGUGGCCAGGGAUCCCAAAGUUUAGGCCCGCCUUUUGCACAAAGUGCCGCAAAAUUCGAGGAGAGUACCCGUGGGCGGCGAAGACACUGUUUUCAACAAGCUUGUUUGCACCGUCGGCCGACCUACAUACAAUCUUGCACCUGCCAUAGCCUAUCCUCGCGACCUCCUCUAUACCGCCAAGUCCCAGUUUUAUCAACAGUUCGGAUAGCUCGAACUGGUUAAUUGCGAUCCUGGAAAUAUUAUCGCUUAAU